UACGUAGGCAGCAAGCGUUGUUCGGAAUUACUGGGCGUAAAGAGUGUGUAGGCGGUGCUCUAAGUUUGGUGUGAAAUCUCCCGGCUCAACUGGGAGGGUGCGCCGAAAACUGGAAUGCUUGAACAUGGGAGAGGAAAGCGGAAUUCCUGGUGUAGCGGUAGAAAUGCGAUCGAUAUCAGGAGGAACAGCCUGCGGUGUAGACGGCUUUCUGGACCAUUGUUGACGCUGAGACACGAAAGCGUGGGUAGCAAACAGG
rnacentral:rRNA from 1 species